rfam:TPA: Bos taurus chromosome 28, whole genome shotgun sequence.
UCCCUGAUGGUCCAGUGGUUAAGACUCUGAGCUCCCAAGGCAGGGGGCUCAGGUUUGAUCCCUGGUCAGGGAA